UAACUAUUGAUCUGUAACUCCGAUUUCGAAUCUGUGAAGUGCUACGGGUUCGUCUCGAUGUCCUCUUUCUAUCCUAGAGGUUUGAGCUAGAUCCAAUAGUGAUUCUAGAUGGCUCGUUUUAGGAGGCUCGGUUUACAAUCGACGUUCUUGGUGGGGAUUUGUAUUGACGAGAGAAGUACUUAGAUUUGAUCGAGCCGGGAAAGGGUAGCCGACGAGCCUAGAAGACAGUGUUUUUGUUUUAUUCCGCUUUGUAACACUCGUUCACGCUUCAGGAUCGGCGUCCGGUGCUUAAAACCCACUGACGCCGGGACCGGGGUGUGACAUGUUCCCUCCAACGUUAUAACAUCCAAAUGAGCAUAUUUGUGCGCCGUAUAUGAUCCAAAAGAAUGCUGUCAAAGACUUGGAUUAGAAUGUUUUCACGGCGCUCUAGCGUGCCGUAAAAGAGUAUUAGUUUAAAGACAUUUACGGCGCACAAGUAUGCCGUAAUAACCUAUUUGCUCUGCAUGUUGCUUUUUGCAUUUAUUGUUUCCACAAUUAUAUAUGAUUUACUGAUCAUAUUCCAAAUUCAUGGUACUACAUUCCAUUGGCUACUCAAAUCAGAGUUAACAAUAACUAACUUCAAAACCUUAUACAAGAACAACAAUCUAAUUUAAAGCUAGCAAAGGUGAACUAACAUCAUAUAUAUAUAUAUACACAUUCAU